rnacentral:rRNA from 1 species
CAGCAGCCGCGGUAAAACGGAGGGUGCGAGCGUUGUCCGGAUUUAUUGGGUUUAAAGGGUGCGUAGGCGGCCUAAUAAGUCAGUGGUGAAAGCCUCCAGCUUAACUGGAGAACUGCCAUUGAUACUGUUAGGCUUGAGUAUACUUGAGGUAGGCGGAAUUGACAGUGUAGCGGUGAAAUGCAUAGAUAUUGUCAAGGACACCAAUUGCGAAGGCAGCUUACUAAAUUAUAACUGACGCUGAGGCACGAAAGUGUGGGUAUCAAACAGGAUUAGAUACCCCCGUAGUCCCUGUCUCUUAUAC